UAAGAGGUCCCGCCUGCCCUGUGACUAUUAGUUUAACGGCCGCGGUAUUCUGACCGUGCGAAGGUAGCGCAAUCACUUGUCUUUUAAAUGGAGACCUGUAUGAAUGGCACAACGAGGGCUUAACUGUCUCCUCUUUCAAGUCAAUGAAAUUGAUCUUCCCGUGCAGAAGCGGGAAUAACAACAUAAGACGAGAAGACCCUAUGGAGCUUUAGACACCAAGGCAGAUCAUGUUAAACACCCCCAAAUAAAGGGCCAAACCAAAUGAUCCCUGCCCUAAUGUCUUUGGUUGGGGCGACCGCGGGGCAACAAAAAACCCCCACGUGGAAUGGGACUACCCUCCUACAAACAAGAGCUGCAGCUCUAGUUCACAGAAUUUCUGACCAAUAAGAUCCGGCAAAGCCGAUCAACGAACCGAGUUACCCUAGGGAUAACAGCGCAAUCCCCUUUUAGAGCCCAUAUCGACAAGGGGGUUUACGACCUCGAUGUUGGAUCAGGACAUCCUAAUGGUGCAGCCGCUAUUAAGGGUUCGUUUGUUCAACG
rnacentral:rRNA from 1 species